UCUGAGGUGACAGAAAUCUACAAAUAUAGUAACAAUGCAAUCUGUUGCAGGAGAAAGCAAAGAAGAAAUUUUGGAACACCCUGCUCAGAGUCAGAUCCUUAGCCACCCAGAAGCAUGACCACAAGAGGGCCUGGAUCACGUUGGAAAGAGACAAGUUUGUCUGUGAUGCUCCUCCUCUCUCCAAUUCUGGGAUUUCUUCAGGCUACAGGAAACCCACACAGAGGGAUUCCAUGGGGCCAUUCUGGUCACCGGACAUGCCAGCAAACCAAGGCCCUGGACCUUCAAGUCUUCACAGCUGGAACAGAACCAACCUGGCCCCACUGUGCCCUGACUUCUUGGCCCAUAGCCUUCAGGUGGGUGUAAGAAAAUGGUUAUUUUCAGCAGCUAAGUUUUGAGGUAAUUUGUUACACAGCAGUGGUCUCUGGAACAAUCCUUUUGCUCCAUUCCCACCUCUGAUCUUUCUCUGUGGAGGCUUACAUAUUUAAGUCCUUAAA
rnacentral:lncRNA from 1 species